GCAAUGGGCCAGGGCCGUCCCCCAAUCCGGCUGGGCUGAGUCAUGUGGGCAGGCAGGUGGAAAAUCCCAGCUGGGGACAGGCACCGCGUCUUCUGGGUCCUCGUACAGCUCACCCCCUGGUCUCCUGCUCCCCCCAGCUCUCCAGAGAUGGCAGAACCUCAAGGAGGAGCCAGCUGUGUGAGCCACUGGGGCCAAGAGAGAGGACACCACAGCGCCUCGUGAGGAGCUGGAAGCAGGCAACUCAGCCAGAGAUGACCCAGGUGGCUGCCUCCUGGGACCGGCGGACACCAGGCCAGUCCACGUGGCUCUUGCCACUGCGCCCCAGCUUGUGCUAAUGCAGACACUGAGCACUCGCGAGUGAAGGAGUGUGCGGGCAUCCACUCUGAGCUGCACCUCUCUCCAAACAACACACAGUGCUGCCGUCACGCUCAGCAGGACGAGGACUCUGGGCGGCUUCCUGCAUGGCCCAGUGCUCCCUGUCUCAACUGGCUUGAGGUCUCCUUGCUUCACUUCUCUCCUUCCCCCACGUGUGUGUUUGGUCGAGGAAACCUGCGUCCAGAGCGCACAGACGUCCCUGCCUUCGCUGUGGGUGCCGUGGCCUCGUGCCAUUGGAGCUGACCCGGCUCCCAGGUCCUGUCUGCAGGUGUGCCUGCUCAGCACAUUUACACCAGCGGACCACACAGCGUGGGCCUCGCGUCCAGCUUCCAGUCCACUGCAGCCAGUCUGGGCAGGUGACCACCAUUGCACGGACACUGGGUGCUUCCUCUGAAGUCACUGGCCACUGAGAGGAGGCCCUCAUCACCUGGACCACGAAUCCACAGGGAGCACAGGCCAUGCUGAACUCCAGGUGGCCUUGUGGCAGGUCCACCCUGUCCUCCCCUCGCCCCGCCUCUCCUUGUCGGGAACCUCCCUGCCCUAUCCCUGGCUGCUCCGUCCCAGUUCACCCCAGGGUGCUGCAAACGUUCUCCUGUGCAUGGAUCAUAUUCUUGUCAAGAAGAGAAAGAACGGAAGGAGCCUGUUCCGCUGCGGGUGGGUCGGCUGCGGAGGCUGCCCCCCCAGGGUCUGUUAGAGGAGUCUUUACUUGACUCUGGUUGGUUCUGUGUGCAUCGAACUCGUGGGCCUCACAUCGUCACCAAAUGAGACUCGGCCCACCCUCUCUGGUCCAGGAUUGUGCAGCACCCUGAGCCUGCUGGGGUCUGGCCCAAACAGUCUGCUGACAUGAAAACCUGACGGGAAGCAGGACCCAGCCCUGGCGCUUCCCUCCCGCCUCUGGCUGUGGGUCCUCGGGCCUUGCUUCUGCUCAUGCCACUCAGCAGCUGCGCCACACACUGGGGACUCGUCUCUCUGUGAGCCCGCUUGGUCAGCCCGGCAACAGGGACCAAGGACUCCCACAGGUGCCCCCUCUGAAGCCUGUGUUAAAACUGGCCCAGUGGCCUCCAUGUAGAAGCAGUGGGCAGCGUGUGCCCCGGAGGAGGCCGGGCCUUCCUUUCUGAAAGCCCCCGGGUGCUCUCAUGGUCAGCCAGAGCCCAAGGCUGAGAACAGGGACCCUGAAGGCAAAACUGGCACACUUCCUGUCCGGCUUUGUUUGAGCGGCUAAGAAAUGGUGUACCAAGGCCAGGAGCUUGGGUUCCAGGGUCGGCAGGCUGGCCUGUGGGGUCGGGGUCAUGGGGGCAUCCUGUGCAUCCCAUGGGCCACGCAGACCUUAUAGCCGUUCAGACAGGACAAGGACUGAAACUCCCCGCCUCAGGGUCACGCCCCUCCCCGGCCCACUGCCCCUCUGUGUACUGUAGCCUGGGUCCACGUCUCCCGAGGGUGGCCUCAGGGGCCUGGGGUGAGCAUGGGGCGGACUGCUGGCGGCUCCAGAGCCCCGAGCCAGCCCUCAUCUAGGUCCUUGACUCCUCGAGGCCUCAGUUCUCCUGGCUGGAAAAUGAAGGAGCUGGACUCUAAAGUCUCUGUCUCUGCUAACACCUUCUGAAGUUUUCCACUUGUGUCCUGAGAACCCGGGGUACCCGGCAGCUCAGAGAGCCCAGGGGCUGGUCCUGGCAGGGGUCUCACUCCCUUUCUGCUGGUGUUGGACCCUGUGAAGUCCUCGAGUCCCUGUCACUAGCCUCUGGGCAAUGCUUUGUGGGAUCUGGUCAAGCCUGAGCCUCCUUAGGGCCCUCAUUGGAGUCCCUGGGGCAGUGCCUCUCUGAGCCAGCAGAGGGCGGCAGUGCCCCAGCUGAGCCCAGCCAGGCCUAGGGAGAGGCCAAGGUGUCCCACUGCGUGCACUGAAACUUCCGGAGACUGGGACUCCCCUGAGCCAGAGGAGCCAGGAGGUCUCGGAUUGGCUGUGUCCCCCACCGCCCUGGCUGGGCACCCUAAGGUCCCAGAAAGCUAGACUGGAGGGGAGCUGGGCCUCGGCAUCCUCCUGCAGGCCCUGCGUAGGUGGGGGUGGCGCCGGGUGCAAGGCUGGGGAGGCCCUAGUGUGGCAGGUGCUCAAGUGCCUGGGGGAGCCAUAGGCAUGAGUCCCUUUCCCUGCUUCCCACUGGCUGGCCACUCGGGGUUGCUCUGGGGCCCUGCUCCCGGGCUGGCGGCCUGGUGGACAGGUCCCCUCUGGACACUAGUGUGGCUGGGGUCUGGGGUCGUGUCUUCCCAGCUGGGACUCCUGCCCUGGCAUCUCUGGGUGGGAUGGGGACUAGUUUCAAAGGCAGAUUCUGUCCCCACCCAGGCCCAUGGGGGUGGGCUCCCAGGGGUGGCCGGGAGCUGCAGACUUAGCUGCAUCCAUGCAAGUCUGAAGGCCCGAGUCUGCGACCCCCAUGGGCUCAGCUCAGAGCCCUCCGCAUCCCACUCCCCCGAGCCCAACCCACGCCCUGGUUCAUCUGGCUCAGCCCUGGAGCUUUGAGCCAGGGUGCCCCACACACCCGCCCUCAAGUGCUCUGCCCACCGAGGCGGGGACCCCCACAGGGCAAGGUCCUUCCGUGAGUUUCAGGUCUUGUUCCCAUCUGGUUCUGUCCCUCACCUGAGGGCUCCUGUUUGCCGACAGUGACAGCCCCAUUGGCUGGCGGGGUCUGGUCUGCAGGUGAGAUGCUCGCGGCCAAGUCCCCCAGGUCCCGCCUGCACCUUGAGCUCACAGGUUCAGUGCAGAACUGUGGCCUUGGCAGCCGGAGUCUGGCAAGCCCGAGGCUGGGCGGGACUUGAAGGAACCCUAACAGCUGUGGCCGAAGGGACGCCCUGUCUGGAUGUACCCUGAUUCUGAUCCUCACAACAAGCCCCCGAGCCGGCAGCUCUUCCUCGGCCGCGCAGGCUCCUGGAGCAGAGGCAGGGCCCCGAGACCCAGCUGGUGAGCGGGAGGGCUGCGUGCAGUGCCCCCCUUCCCGAGUUCAUGCUGACCAGCACCCACACACAGCUGGCAGAGGGGGUCUUGGUUGGGUUUUUGUUGUUAAAACAUUGAUUUGGUUUUAUUGUCAUAAGGCACACGGGACAUAGAAUCUACCCUCUGCCCGGUUUUGAGUGUUUGGUUCUCCCACCUGUCGGGGCCGUCCUCCCUGGCCCCCAGGUUUGCCAGGAAGUCCAGGUGCCCACAGGUUUGCAAGAGGAUUCAGGAGAAGUUAGUUGAAGUGACCCCCAGGACACAAGCAGCAGGGGCAGAAAAGUAAGUCCACAGGCCAGGGAGAGACUGACCAGCUGCCUGUCCUGCCCUUUGCUUUGAGCUAGAAGCUCCUGAGUCCUGGGCCCUCGGGAGAAGCAGGUGCUUCUUUGCCUGUGUCCCAUUUGUGGCCAGUGUGUGAGGGCUGGGACCCCACGCAUGUCCCUAGGAGGGUCUCAAAGUGGAAGGGGGGGGCUGUCAGGAGAGCGCUCCUCUUUGCUGUUGGUAAUACAGGGGGGACAGAGAGAUCUGACUUGUGGAUUUCAUAAAUCACAACUGUUUUAGCUCCGAGGGAUGCAGAUUGAUUAAGGUCUGAGCGUCGAGCCCUGUAUGGAUUGGGAGCCCAUCUCUCGUAAGCCCUCUCUUUCCCAGACCCGAGUGUCAGCAGUUUUCCGGGAAAGCAAUCUUUUUAUGUGGCA